rnacentral:rRNA from 1 species
UACGUAGGGUCCAAGCGUUAUCCGGAAUCACUGGGCGUAAAGCGCACGUAGGCGGCUUGGUAUGUCGGGUGUGAAAUCCCCGGGCUCAACCUGGGAACUGCAUCCGAAACUGCCUUGCUCGAGUAUGGGAGAGGGAAGUGGAAUUUCCGGUGUAGCGGUGAAAUGCGUAGAUAUCGGAAGGAACAUCAGUGGCGAAGGCGACUUCCUGGACCAAUACUGACGCUCAGGUGCGAAAGCGUGGGGAGCAAACAGG